CGGAAUAUAGCUCAGCCUGGUAGAGCACUACGUUCGGGACGUAGGGGUCGCAGGUUCGAAUCCUGCUAUUCCGACCA
rnacentral:tRNA from 17 species